rnacentral:rRNA from 1 species
AUUGAACGCUGGCGGCAUGCCUUACACAUGCAAGUCGAACGGCAGCACGGACUUCGGCCUGGUGGCGAGUGGCGAACGGGUGAGUAAUAUAUCGGAACAUACCUUGUAGUGGGGGAUAACUAUCCGAAAGGAUAGCUAAUACCGCAUACGCUCUAUGGAGGAAAGCGGGGGAUCGUAAGACCUCGUGCUAUAAGAGUGGCCGAUAUCUGAUUAGCUAGUUGGUGAGGUAAAGGCUCACCAAGGCGACGAUCAGUAGCUGGUCUGAGAGGACAACCAGCAACACUGGAACUGAGACACGGUCCAGACGCCAACGGGAGGCAGCAGUGGGGAAUUUUGGACAAUGGGCGCAACCCUGAUCCAGCAAUGCCGCGUGAGUGAAGAAGGCCUUCGGGUUGUAAAGCUCUUUUGUCAGGGAAGAAGCGGUUGUGGCUAAUAUCCAUGGCUAAUGACGGUACCUGAAGAAUAAGCACCGGCUAACUACGUGCCAGCCGCCGCCGUAACAC